rnacentral:rRNA from 1 species
AACUUAAAGGAAUUGACGGGGGCCCGCACAAGCGGAGGAGCAUGUGGUUUAAUUCGAUGAUACGCGAGGAACCUUACCUGGGCUCGAACGUAAGAUGACUGUAGGUGAAAGCUUACAUCUCUUCGGAGCAUUUUACGAGGUGCUGCAUGGUUGUCGUCAGCUCGUGCCGUGAGGUGUCGGGUUAAGUCCCAUAACGAGCGCAACCCCUACCUUUAGUUGCCAUCAGUUCGGCUGGGCACUCUAAAGGGACUGCCGGUGUUAAACCGGAGGAAGGUGGGGAUGACGUCAAGUCCUCAUGGCCUUUAUGACCAGGGCUACACACGUACUACAAUGGCCGAUACAAAGGGCAGCGACACUGCGAGGUGAAGCCAAUCCCGUAAAAUCGGUCUCAGUCCGGAUUGGAGUCUGCAACUCGACUCCAUGAGGUUGGAAUCGCUAGUAAUCGUGUAUCAGCAUGCCACGGUGAAUACGUUCCCGGGCCUU